UGUUCUGUGGCUAAGUUGGUUAAAGCGCCAGUCUAGCAAAUACGGAAUCGUGGGUUCGAAUCCCACCAGAACGC
rfam:Aedes albopictus isolate Foshan contig2690, whole genome shotgun sequence.